rnacentral:rRNA from 1 species
GUGCAAAGGUAGCAUAAUCAUUAGGUUUUUAAUUGGAAUCUUGUAUGAAUGAUUGGACAAAAGAAGUACUGUCUUUGUAUUGAAACUUAAAUUUAACUUUUAAGUGAAAAGGCUUAAAUAUACUAAAGGGACGAUAAGACCCUAUAAAACUUUACAUUUAUGUUAAAUUUUAUGGAAUUUGAAAUUAUAAUUAUUAAGUUUAAUUUUUUGUUAUGUUGGGGAGACAAAAGCUAUAAUUAUUUAUAACUGCUUUUAAAGGAAACAAAAAUAAAUGGGGAGAGUUAAAGAUCCUUUAUUGAGAUUGUAAGAUUAAGUUACUUUAGGGAUAACAGCGUUAUUUUUUUUGAGAGUUCAUAUUGAAAAAAAAGAUUGCGACCUCGAUGUUGAAUUAAAAUAUCUUU